AAGACCUUGCGCUUUUGGAGCGGCCGAUGUCUGAUUAGCUUGUUGGUGAGGUAAAGGCUUACCAAGGCUUCGAUCAGUAGCUGGUCUGAGAGGACGGCCAGCCACACUGGGACUGAGACACGGCCCAGACUCCUACGGGAGGCAGCAGUGGGGAAUUUUGGACAAUGGGGGCAACCCUGAUCCAGCCAUGCCGCGUGAGUGAAGAAGGCCUUCGGGUUGUAAAGCUCUUUCAGCCGGAACGAAACGGUUACGGUUAAUACCCGUGACUACUGACGGUACCGGAAGAAGAAGCACCGGCUAACUACGUGCCAGCAGCCGCGGUAAUACGUAGGGUGCGAGCGUUAAUCGGAAUUACUGGGCGUAAAGCGUGCGCAGGUGGUUUUGUAAGUCAGAUGUGAAAUCCCCGGGCUUAACCUGGGAACU
rnacentral:rRNA from 1 species